GGAGCAGUGGCCGAGUGGUCUAAGGCAGCGGUCUUGAAAACCGCCGGGCCAGUGAUGGUUCCGUGGGUUCGAAUCCCACCUGCUCCGCCA
rnacentral:tRNA from 1 species